rnacentral:rRNA from 1 species
AAUGAACGCUGGCGGCAGGCCUAACACAUGCAAGUCGAGCGGCAGCACCGUAAGAACCUGCUCUUACGGGUGGCGAGUGUCGGACCGGGGAGGUAUACACGGGAUUCUACUUUUUCGCGGGGGAUAAUGUAGGGAAACUCACGCUAAUACCGCAUACGACCUACGGGUGAAGGCAGGCGAUCUUCGGACCUUGCGCGAGUGUAAUAGCCGAUGUUGGAUUAGCUAGGUGGCGGGGUAGAGGCCCACCACAGCGACGCUCCGUAGGGGCUCUGAGCGGAUGGACAGCCACACUGUAACAGAGACACGGUCCAGACUCCUACGGGAAGCAGCAGUGGGGACUAUUGGGCGAGGGGGGCGAGCCGGAUCUGACCAUACCGCGUGGGUGAUGAAGGCCCUCGGGUUGUAAAGCCAUUUUGUUGGGAAAGAAGAACAGCAGGUUAAUACCGCGAUGUUAUGACGGUACCAAAAGAAUAAGCACCGGCUAACUUCGUG